rnacentral:rRNA from 1 species
UACGGAAGGCAGCAGUGGGGAAUAUUGCACAAUGGGCGCAAGCCUGAUGCAGCCAUGCCGCGUGUAUGAAGAAGGCCUUCGGGUUGUAAAGUACUUUCAGUCGUGAGGAAGGUGUUAAGGUUAAUAACCUUAGCAAUUGACGUUAGCGACAGAAGAAGCACCGGCUAACUCCGUGCCAGCAGCCGCGGUAAUACGGGGGUGCGAGCGUUAAUCGGAAUUACUGGGCGUAAAGGGCACGCAGGCGGUUAAUUAAGUUGGAUGUGAAAUCUCCGGGCUUAACCUGGGAAUGGCAUUCAAGACUGGUUAGCUAGAGUCUUGUAGAGGGGGUAGAAUUCCAUGUGUAGCGGUGAAAUGCGUAGAGAUGUGGAGGAAUACCGGUGGCGAAGGCGGCCCCUGGACAAAGACUGACGCUCAUGUGCGAAAGCGUGGGGAGCAAACAGGGAUUAGAUACC